UACAGAGGGGGCAAGCGUUGUUCGGAAUUACUGGGCGUAAAGAGCUCGUAGGCGGUCUGUCGCGUCGGCUGUGAAAACCCGAGGCUCAACCUCGGGCCUGCAGUCGAUACGGGCAAACUAGAGUACUGCAGGGGAGACUGGAAUUCCUGGUGUAGCGGUGAAAUGCGCAGAUAUCAGGAGGAACACCGGUGGCGAAGGCGGGUCUCUGGGCAGUAACUGACGCUGAGGAGCGAAAGCGUGGGGAGCGAACAGG
rnacentral:rRNA from 1 species